UCCCUGGUGGCUUAGACAGUAAAAGAUUCUGCCUACAAUGCAGGAGACCCAGGUUCAAUCCCUGAGUCAGGGA
rnacentral:tRNA from 1 species